GGAUCCAGACUUUGAUUCUGGCUCAUUAUGAACGCUAGCUACAGGCUUAACACAUGCAAGUCGAGGGGCAGCAUGACGAUAGCUUGCUAUUGUUGAUGGCGACCGGCGCACGGGUGAGUAACGCGUAUCCAACCUGCCCUUGUCCAUCGGAUAACCCGUCGAAAGGCGGCCUAACACGAUAUGCAGUUCUCAGCAGGCAUCUAACGAGAACGAAAUGUGAGGGAGAAGGAUGGGGAUGCGUCUGAUUAGCUUGUUGGUGGGGUAACGGCCCACCAAGGCGACGAUCAGUAGGGGUUCUGAGAGGAAGGUCCCCCACAUUGGAACUGAGACACGGUCCAAACUCCUACGGGAGGCAGCAGUGAGGAAUAUUGGUCAAUGGGCGAGAGCCUGAACCAGCCAAGUAGCGUGCAGGAAGACGGCCCUAUGGGUUGUAAACUGCUUUUAUGUGGGGAUAAAGUGAGCCACGUGUGGCUUAUUGCAGGUACCGCAUGAAUAAGGACCGGCUAAUUCCGUGCCAGCAGCCGCGGUAAUACGGAAGGUCCGGGCGUUAUCCGGAUUUAUUGGGUUUAAAGGGAGCGUAGGCCGUCUGAUAAGCGUGUUGUGAAAUGUCGGGGCUCAACCUGGGCAUUGCAGCGCGAACUGUCAGACUUGAGUGCGCGGGAAGUAGGCGGAAUUCGUCGUGUAGCGGUGAAAUGCUUAGAUAUGACGAAGAACUCCGAUUGCGAAGGCAGCCUGCUGUAGCGCAACUGACGCUGAAGCUCGAAAGCGUGGGUAUCGAACAGGAUUAGAUACCCUGGUAGUCCACGCGGUAAACGAUGGAUGCUCGCUGUUUGCGUCUGACGUAAGCGGCCAAGCGAAAGCGUUAAGCAUCCCACCUGGGGAGUACGCCGGCAACGGUGCAACUCAAAGGAAUUGACGG
rnacentral:rRNA from 1 species